UACGUAGGUGGCAAGCGUUGUCCGGAUUUAUUGGGUUUAAAGGGUGCGUAGGCGGCUUUGUAAGUCAGUGGUGAAAUAUGGCAGCUCAACUGUCAGGGUGCCAUUGAUACUGCAGAGCUUGAGUACAGAUGAGGUAGGCGGAAUUGACGGUGUAGCGGUGAAAUGCUUAGAUAUCGUCAAGAACACCUAUAGCGAAGGCAGCUUACUAGGCUGUAACUGACGCUGAGGCACGAAAGUGUGGGGAUCAAACAGG
rnacentral:rRNA from 1 species